UUCUUUGCAUACAAUGGGGGAUCUAAGCCUGGAUUCAUGCCCUACCCAGGACAUUUCCUUUUUGUGGCAUGUGAGCAGAGCCGUUACCAACGCUAAGAUUUACUGCUUUGGGGAUCGGUUCAGAACAAAUGUUCCAAACAGCCGUCUGCCUCUGGCAAGGGAAAUAAUAUGUAUGUCUACUUCUGGGGAGCUGAAGAAAUGGGAUAUGGGCUUCCCGGAGAGACAGCUGUUGUGAACAUACACAGAUCUAAAAGAGAGAAAAGAUAAAAAGUUCAUGAAAGCUGGAAACAAAGAAUAAAUGCAAUGUUUGCUUUGAGGUGAAAAAAAAAAAAGACAAAACACAAUUGAGCAAAUAAACUCUCAACGAAAAAUCUACUCCAACACAGAGAUUUAAAGACAGGACUAAAAUGAGUAGGAGUCUGUUAAUCAAUAAGAUUGCUUUAGUCAGAUUUUAAAACUUGAUUUAUCGAGAUAAUCACCAACAUUCUCUUCUGUUGGAGACGUGACCACAUGCCUUCAUCAUAUAGGUAACUAACAUCUUCCUGAAUUUUGGACUCAAAAACAUAUUUCGAUGGUUAGAACUUAUCAAGGGAUUAAAACACUUUCUAAAAGUAGACUCCAUGGAAAACUGCUCAAAUAUCCUUCUAGGAGUUGCCAUCAGUAACAUAUUUUCCAGCCUUCAUCAUUAAAUAUUCUGUAAACCAGCUAAAUGUUUUAUGGCUGUAUAUUUUUUCCUUGAUGUUGCAGCAUUCCUAGCCUAGAAAAUUUACCAUUGCCCUAUUAUUUCUGAGAUUUCUGAGACUGUUGCUAUCUGAUUACUCUUGUUUUACAGGAAGUAGAAAAAGAGAAUGAAACUCUGUAGGGACGGGGAGUGUGGCUUCUUCCAGCAUGGGACUAUUUGUUUUAAUUAAUCUUAAACCAUUUUGACAUGUGCUAAUGGUUGAAUGUAGGUAUCUGGUAGGUGUGUGGCCUGUCGUGCCUCUCCCCUGCUGUUUACUUUAGCGACUUGUCUGUCUGAAAGUUAUGAUACCACAAAGCCUCCUUAGGGUCUUAGAGCAUGAUGUAGCAUGCAGACUUCAAAAAACAGCCCCGAGGGAUACCCCUUUAAGCUGUUGCAGGUAGAACCACUGAGGUGAGGGCAGGAAAGCUUCAAGCGAACAAUGAGGAGGGAAGCUGGUGACUUCAUCCUGGCUUCACCUGGGUGCCCUGAAACAAUUAGGCAACUUCUAUCCAAA
rnacentral:lncRNA from 1 species